rnacentral:lncRNA from 1 species
GGGCAAUGUUAGUACAUCAAGACUUCACUCCUGUUGUUGCGAAAGUUGAAUGACUCCUGUGGACAUCAAGGGACCCAGCAGGUUCUCGCUCUACGUGACAUGAGUCAUGUUGUUUUCCUCCUGUGAUGUUUUACAUGCAAACCCUGGGUACUUAAUCCCAAGCCAAUGACUCUUGAAAGUCUUCAAUGCACUAUGACUUGAGAAGAGAACUCUGGGAAGCGUCCUGUGCUGCUUUUACUAAAACACACCAAAGGUGCUGUGAGGAGAGCUCGCAGCUAAGAAGAGGUUCCUAAUGGCUGGAGAUUUGGCUUAGCUGUCAAACGCACUUGUUCUUCUAGAGGACACAGGCUGGAUUCCUAACACCCACAUGGGUAACUGACAGCAUAUCUAAGUGCAGUUCUAGGGGAUCCAACACUCUGCUCUCUAUCAGAUAUAGAUUUGUGUGGGGGAACAUCUAAAGCAGUGUGUCAGGUAGAGAAUAUAAAAAUAUUGGGAUUGUUUUAACCUGAGCAGCUUUAAAUUCCUCCCAGUUACCAUGGGCAGCAUACAUCGCCAUAUUGGUCAGAAUUGAGAUGCAGAGAAAAAUUUUGCUGUGACAGACUAGGCUGUUGGCUAUCACAUGAUGAAGUAAAAGUUUCACAGUGCUGAGAAAGGGAAGGGGAUUAGUAAGAGAAAACUCAGAGCCUCUGACUCAUGGGUUUUUCUACCACAGGAGGCCAAAGGAUCUUGUUUCCAUUCUUGUCCCAUCAAUUAUCCCACCACCAGCAAAGGAACAGAAGAGGAAACGACACCAGCAGUUUCCAUGGUAAUCAGUUGAUGGAAUUAAAUCAAGCAGGAAACCUCUUCAGAAUGCAAAGUCAUCUUGCAAAACAGAGAGGCUUGAAAUAUCCAGGAAGUGUGUCAUGGCCAAAUGAAAGGAAUGGAGAUGUGAAUACCUCCAUAAUGUAAACUCCCCAACCCUAAAAUAAACACUCAAAAGCUAGCCUUUGUC